GAACAAUUCAGCUGUCUCUUUAGAAAACUUGACAAAAGGAAAUGCUCCCUGCUGAAAAUUUUCUUAGCCUGUUGCACAAAAGAUGAAGUUUGUUUAAGAAAUUGCUGCUAAAGAAAGCGUCAACCCAUUAAGGUAAUAUGGAAGCAAAUAUUCUCAGAAACCAACAGAGACAUUGUGCAGAUUUGGACACUAGAAGAGCCAGCUACCUUCUGUUUUAUUUUAGCUUUGUUGUUUCAUCUUCGUCAUAUCAUAUCCAAGUAAAAUUGGAGGAAAAUGUCAGAAGAAGCUUACAGGCUCAUACUCCCUUCUGUGGCCUUGUUGAAGAAGGUGCUUGCUCCCUUUUGUCUUCUGCCAUGCUUGUAGGGAUCCUGAGGCCUCCAAGCCAUGCUUCCUGUUAAGCCUGCAGAACUGUCCUGGCUAUGAGAAUUCCAUUCACCUCAUUCUUAUCUUUUGCUCUACAAUGUACAGCUGAUGUUUUAUAAUAAAAACAUGGAGUCACGCUAACUCCCACAUGCCCUACCAUUCACUUUCCCCAAGCAGUAACAAAGCAGGCGACUCAGCUAAUAUAAUAUUUAGACUAACAGUGAAGAAAAAGAUCUUUCUCCCUUCUGUACUCUGAAUAAAUAAAUUAGUCUGACCAAAUGAAGAAA